UACGGGGGGGGGCUAGCGUUGUUCGGAAUUACUGGGCGUAAAGGGCCAGUAGGCGGCCAACUAAGUCGGAUGUGAAAUCCCCAGGCUUAACCUGGGAACUGCAUCCGAUACUGGAUGGCUUGAAUUCGGGAGAGGGAUGCAGAAUUCCAGGUGUAGCGGUGAAAUGCGUAGAUAUCUGGAGGAACACCGGUGGCGAAGGCGGCUUCCUGGACCGACACUGACGCUGAGGCGCGAAAGCUAGGGGAGCAAACGGG
rnacentral:rRNA from 1 species